GAUGAACGCUGGCGGCGUGCCUAAUACAUGCCAGUCGAGCGAACGGACGAGAAGCUUGCUUCUCUGAUGUUAGCGGCGGACGGGUGAGUAACACGUGGAUAACCUACCUAUAAGACUGGGAUAACUUCGGGAAACCGGAGCUAAUACCGGAUAAUAUUUUGAACCGCAUGGUUCAAAAGUGAAAGACGGUCUUGCUGUCACUUAUAGAUGGAUCCGCGCUGCAUUAGCUAGUUGGUAAGGUAACGGCUUACCAAGGCAACGAUGCAUAGCCGACCUGAGAGGGUGAUCGGCCACACUGGAACUGAGACACGGUCCAGACUCCUACGGGAGGCAGCAGUAGGGAAUCUUCCGCAAUGGGCGAAAGCCUGACGGAGCAACGCCGCGUGAGUGAUAAAGGUCUUCGGAUCGUAAAACUCUGUUAUUAGGGAAGAACAUAUGCGUAAGUAACUGUGCACAUCUUGACGGUACCUAAUCAGAAAGCCACGGCUAACUACGUG
rnacentral:rRNA from 1 species